rnacentral:rRNA from 1 species
UAAUACGUAGGGCGCAAGCGUUGUCCGGAAUUAUUGGGCGUAAAGAGCUCGUAGGCGGCCUGUCGCGUCCGCUGUGAAAUCCUGGGGCUUAACCCCGGGCGUGCAGUGGAUACGGGCUGGCUAGAGGCAGGCAGGGGAGAACGGAAUUCCCGGUGUAGCGGUGAAAUGCGCAGAUAUCGGGAGGAACACCGGUGGCGAAGGCGGUUCUCUGGGC